UGACCCUUCAGCCCCCUCCUGCUCUCCUCAAUCCCCUCUCUGAACCUGUUCUCUGUUAUCAUCCACUGUGGAUUAGUUAUUAAUGAGUUUUGGAUAUGUAGAGAUAUAUUUUAGCAUAAUAGAUGUUGUGUGGAAGCAGAAAGUCUGUGCUAGCAGAGGCUGCCACUGCUGUAAAUUCACCCCCUGCCUCCUGGGUCAUUGUCCCUUCCCUGGCUAAUUAGGACUCAGGCCAUAAAAUACUGAUUUUAGCAUUGUGCAGAGCUGAGAUUUGAAGUCAGGGGACAUCAUUCCUUUAUCUUAAUUACAGUGUAGGAUUUUUUUCCUCCUCAAUUUAGUUCUGGGGAUUUUGGGGAGUGCUUGGACUUUGUGUUUGCAGCACUCCUGAGUGUGGCCAGCAAUAGAAUUAAUUCCUGUGCAGGGGCACAGAUGGAUGAGGAGCCCCAGUGACAGCCCUGACCUGGGACACAGUGGCUGUGUGGGCAACCCUUUGCUUUAUUCUCAUCUUUAUUCUGAUAUUUAUUCUGAUCUUUAUUCUCAUCUUGCUGCCCAAGACUGAAAACAGAGGCAGGAACUGGAGCAGAGCUGUCCCAGUCUGUGCUGUCAAGACCAGGCAAAUAAGGAGAAGGAUUGAAGUUUCCAAAGGAGGUUGCAGAAGUCCUGGAGCUCGUUGCAGGAGUUAAAAACCCUCCUGGAGUGUGGAUUCUGUCCUUGUUAAAGGUGCUGCUGAUUCCCAGCCUUCAGAAGAUGAUCCAGCUCCCCUCAGGAUUGCUUUUGCUCUCUCCUUGAUUUUCCAAUUCCUGUUUCAAACCUCUCAGCACUCGCUGCUUGCCCCUGCUGUGCCCAGCCAUUCCACAGCCCGUGCUUUUCUGACUCCUCUCAUUUAAACCCACAAACUCCUCCAAGUUUUUGCUUUGUGGCCCAGUUUUCACAGGCUGAAAUUAAAGGCAGUUUCUGGUGCCA